UGGCGGCAUGNUUUACNCAUGCAAGUCGAGCGGCAGCGCGGGGGCNACCCUGGCGGCGAGCGGCGAACGGGUGAGGAAUACAUCGGAACGUACCCCGGAGUGGGGGAUAACCCAGCGAAAGUUGGGCUAAUACCGCAUAUGCUCUGAGGAGGAAAGUGGGGGACCGCAAGGCCUCACGCUCUGGGAGCGGNCGAUGUCCGAUUAGCUUGUUGGUGGGGUAAUGGCCUACCAAGGCGACGAUCGGUAGCUGGUCUGAGAGGAUGAUCAGCCACACUGGGACUGAGACACGGCCCAGACUCCUACGGGAGGCAGCAGUGGGGAAUUUUGGACAAUGGGGGGAACCCUGAUCCAGCCAUGCCGCGUGCGGGAAGAAGGNCUUCGGGUCGUAAACCGC
rnacentral:rRNA from 1 species